GCACCGCUAGCUCAAUGGUAGAGCAGUGGCCUUUUAAGCCAUUGGUUCCGAGUUCGAGUCUCGGGCGGUGUACCA
rnacentral:tRNA from 1 species